GUCUAUGGUCAGCUAAGCUAACCCUCUCCCUUCCCAAUAUCAGCUAAUUAGCCUCUCUCUCUCUCUCUCUCACCAUUACCUUGGAUCCCUUUCUUCUCCAGCCAAGAGGGGAGACUAUCCUGUAAGAUACACAUAUAGGCAGCUGCUGCUUUUCAAUACCUUGUGUGUUAUCUCCUUUCCUGGUCUUCAUUUAGUCACCAGGAGUUAAUCAGUUAUUAGUGUUAGAGUCCUUCUUUAUUUGCAAACAGAAAUAAUUCAUUGUCAUACUAAAAUGUAAUUCCUGAAGAACAUAAACAAGAGAACACUAGCUUGAGAAAAAAAUAUUUUUAGCAAUAUAUUUAGACUGAAGCAGCUGUGCAUUCAGAUUAAAAUUGUAGAGACAGAAGAUUAAUUGUCAUACUGCAAGUCUGUGGAAUCAUCCGUAUGAACCUGCUCCUACAGAGGGGUGGUUCACAAUUCCAGGUAGAGGGCAUUGGGACGUUUCCAGUUUUUUGCAAUUCUGAAUAAAGCUACCAUAAACAUUCAUGUACAAGAUUUUGAGUGAAUGACCUCAGAGCAUGAACAUGUUACUUCUACAAGUGAAUUCCAGAAGGAUGACAACAGAUGCCAAGCAAAAAUACAAAAGAGAUUGUGCUGCUCCACUGAACAGGUUUUAAAAUUGUAUUAAUUAAAGCUAG